GGAAUGCAGAAUACAUACAGGGCAUUGUCUUGUAAUUGGAAUGAUGGUGACGUAAAAUCUCACCAGAGUAACAAUUGGAGGGCAAGUCUGGUGCCAGCAGCCGCGGUAAUUCCAGCUCCAAUAGCGUAUAUUAAACUUGUUGCAGUUAAAAAGCUCGUAGUUGAAUUUCUGCGUUGCCCGACUCGGCUACUUGCCUUGUCUGGUUUCGCUUUUGGGGUUUUCCCCUUUUUACUUUGAGAAAAUUAGAGUGUUUCAAGCAGACUUGUGUCUUGAAGACUUCAGCAUGGAAUAAUAAAGUAGGACUUUGGUUCUAUUUUGUUGGUUUGUGAACCUUAGUAAUGGUUAAUAGGAACGGUUGGGGGCAUUCGUAUUUAAA
rnacentral:rRNA from 1 species